ACCGACUCGAUGGACAUGAGUUUGAGUAAGCUCCGGGAGUUGGUGAUGGACAGGGAGGCCUGGCAUGCUGCAGUCCAUGGGGUCGCAAAGAGUCAGACACCACUGAGCAACUGAACUGAAGGACCAGUAACGCAGAGACUGAGGCAGAGGCUGCCUGAAGAGGUAUCUGCUUCUCUCCCCGCCAUCAGAGCCAGUCAUUUGGCGAGCACGCUCAUGCCCUAGUAAGCAUGAUACAGUGGAUGGGGUGGAAUUAAGGGGCCUUCGAUAGUGAAGGACAAGGAGGCCUGGCAUGCUGCAGUUCAUGGAGUUGCAGAGUCGGACAUGACUUAGCGACUAAAUAACAGUUCCACUCCUAAGAUCACGGUUGGGGUCUGUUCUCUUCUAUCCAAUUUGAUAAGGAAGGAAGGAAGAUCUUUUACCUUUUACCAAUACCUGGGAACCUUUUUAUUUCUCUAAAGCCACAGGAUAAGUAUCACCAGACUGCUGGAUUUUCUAUUCUUCAAGACUGGCCCUGUCCUCUAGGGCUUCUGUCUUAGCACUGGGCAUUGCCUUCUCUUCCUGCUACAAUUGCUGCUUGGCCUAUUAGCCUCAGGAAACUUAUUCUCUUGGAUCCAUUCUCUUUAAGAGUCGCCACAUUUUAUCCACCUGCCUGCUCUCGUUUUUGAUCCACCUAUUGUCAUCAUUUAGAACCGCUGGUCUAAGUGACCCACAGGCACAAUCCAGGCUCUUGAGAUGGGUGUCUCCAGGGUCUGAAAUUGACAGUAUUUGUCUUAACCCUUAAAGUAAUCUUGCUGUAGCCAAAAACCUUAGCCAGCAAACACCUCAGCAGAUGCGAUGCACUGCCUUCCACCCCACCCCACCGCCCUGGUGACGCAGGAGAACCACCCUGGAGCCACGGGGCGCAGUGUCUAGAGGGCAGCAGAGCUCCAGUGGGUACCGCCAUCCCCUGGCUGCCAAGCCCCUUGUCACGUAACAGGUUCAGAGGCUUGGAGGUUAGGGUGGGGAGGUUCUGUCCUCCAACCUCACCGUGGCACUGCCUGUAAACCUGCCGAGCCAGGGCCCGAGAGGGCUGCCUGCACGGCCCACGUCAUCCGGGGGUCUGUGAUGCCCUGAUGUCCCGGGCCUGCGGGGGCUGCAUAAGUACGGCUGCGAGCUGCCCACUACAUGGUCUCUGCUGCCCCAGCACAAGGCGACCCUCUCAGGCUCCAUGCGUGGCAUUCAGUACAGGUGUAGGCAUGAGAGAUGGCGCCCUUCUCUAUGGGGACAGGUAGGGAAGAGAUUUCCCAGCUGAGUCUUCCUGGGUCUCUGUUCCAAUGAAAAAGAGACACCCUCCCCUCCCCGACUCUGCGCACCUGAUUCCGCCUCCGUCCAUUUCCCAGCCGCAGCUCAACUCUUUACCCUCGUGGCAUUCUGUAAGCUGGAGUGGUAAGGCCCGAACCUCCAGAAGGGAGAUGAAAUGACCUUGUGGGGUGACAGGAAACAGCAUAGCCAGCAUUGGUUUUGGGGUGUUGAUUUCCACGUGUUAAGGUUUGAGUUGCUACUGAGCUCCCUCGCCCGUGUGUGUGACAGUCGGGCUCUGUAUCCACCGCGAUGCCCGAGCAGGGACGCGGCGUGGGGCGAGAGCUUUGCUGCUGUGCUCUGGCACCUGAGCACGUUUCCGUCUCCAGCAUGGAGCUGCCAGUGGGAAAUUGCUGAAGUGGCACUCCGGAGGAUCCACCAGGGAGACCCCUCCAUCUCCUGCCAAGCUAAACAAACCCUGCCUUGCCCUGUUCUGAAUCACACCUCCCUGCAGAUUCAUUCCUCCUUCCCCAGCGCGGCUCGGGCACCGCCUUCCGGGAAAGUCCUGGGUGUCCGCAAGAGAGGCGUUGGAGGAGAAUGGAACUGAUGGAGGAAGGGGGAGUGCCGCUCAGUCAUCUUUUAAGUAGAAAGGAAAAGGUCAACGGAGCCGCACGGGGCCACGGCCACAUCAGUGUUGACUCUGCCUCGCUGCGGCAAAGGGGCCGGCUUACCGGGGCGAGCGGUGGGCACUGCCAGCUCGCGGUGGGCACCACCCAGCUGCUGACAGCCAAACACAAAGAAACGCAUGCUCUAUACACACAGAUGGGUCUGAGUGUCAGCAGGAGCCCGUUUUUAGCCCUUGCCCAGGAAGGGCAGCCCACAACACAGUAAUUUAAUUAAAUUUGCUUCUCUCCAUGGCCCACAUAUUUGAAGAGGUUUGGGGGGAAAUGAAUCCGGCUGAGGAACAUCACCCUGCCGCUCUGGCACUGCCCCAGAGCUGAGCCGCAGCACCAUAAAGGGUCUCGCCAUCCUGGUUACGGCCCAGGGCAUCUGUCUGCACUGCAGGCUCUCUGGCCAGGCUGCCUGCUGGAAGCAAUCCGUCUCCAUCACAGGGAAGCCACCAGGGGCAAAAUAAGGGGACUCCCCGCCCCCGACUCAAGACCUGCUGGCAGCAGCCUCGGCAGUACCUAGAGCCGUUUGUGGCAUUUGCUUUCCCCACCAGCCUCAGAGUACGAGAAGAGAGAGGGCAAGACAAGAGGACCCCCACCCGCAGCGACACUGCGGCCUCAGUCGUCACCCGUUUCAGUGUUAGCCCACAUGCCUGGGCUUCUGCCCCGAACGUGAUCGGUUUUUAAGGACCUGAAAUGGACUCAGCUUUUUCGUAUUACCCUGCUGUCUACCUCAGGUGCUGUCAGUUUUUGUUCAUUAUGCCUGAGCUUAACUCACACCCAGACCCCCAUGACCUCCCACUGCCUCCCAGACAGCCUUGCAUUAAGUUUAUCAACUCCUCGGGGCUUCCCUGGUGGCUCAGAUGUAAAGAAUCUGCCUGCAGUGCAGGAGAUCUUCCCCUGGGUCGGAACGAUCCCCUGGGCGAAGAGAAUGGCUACCCAUUCCAGUAUUCUUGCAUGGAGAAUUCCAUGGACAGAGGAGCCUAGAGGGCUGCAGUCCACGGGGUCACAAAGAGUCAGACAGGACUGAGCAACAAACACGCUUCAUUUU